CCUAGGUUGUUACCAGGGCGUCCGUAGCUUUCAAACGGUGUACCGCAAGCCCAAUUUGGAGAAUAUUACCAGUGUGAGUGGAUGGAGUGUUACGAGCAAAAAACAACACGUGGAAAACCGAAGUUAAAGUGGGCAUGGUGAGAAGGUCAAGUUCUUCACAUGGUGCACUUUUUAAGGAUGUGUUUCACGAAAAAAGGCACAACGCAUGAUCUCGCUGUUUUCGAGAUUGCUUAGAAAUGGCUAGGAAUCCCAUAAAACUAUCUACAUGAAAAAGUUUCGC
rnacentral:lncRNA from 1 species